GUGUCAGCAGCCGCGGUAAUACGAAGGGGACUAGCGUUGUUCGGAUUUACUGGGCGUAAAGCGCGCGUAGGCGGAUCGCUAAGUCAGGGGUGAAAUCCCAGGGCUCAACCCUGGAACUGCCUUUGAUACUGACGAUCUGGAGAUCGGGAGAGGUUGGUGGAAUUCCGAGUGUAGAGGUGAAAUUCGUAGAUAUUCGGAGGAACACCAGAAGCGAAGGCGGCCAACUGGCCCGAUACUGACGCUGAGGCGCGAAAGCGUGGGGAGCAAACAGGAUUAGAUACCCUGGUAGUCC
rnacentral:rRNA from 1 species